rnacentral:rRNA from 1 species
UAUCCGGAUUUACUGGGUGUAAAGGGAGCGCAGGCGGUGCGGCAAGUCUGAUGUGAAAGCCCGGGGCUCAACCCCGGUACUGCAUUGGAAACUGUCGUACUAGAGUGUCGGAGAGGUAAGUGGAAUUCCUAGUGUAGCGGUGAAAUGCGUAGAUAUUAGGAGGAACACCAGUGGCGAAGGCGGCUUACUGGACGAUAACUGACGCUGAGGCUCGAAAGCGUGGGGAGCAAACAGGAUUAGAUACCCUGGUAGUCCACGCUGUAAACGAUGAAUACUAGGUGUUGG